rnacentral:rRNA from 1 species
AUUGAACGCUGGCGGCAGGCCUAACACAUGCAAGUCGAGCGGAUGAAGGGAGCUUGCUCCUGGAUUCAGCGGCGGACGGGUGAGUAAUGCCUAGGAAUCUGCCUGGUAGUGGGGGAUAACGUCCGGAAACGGGCGCUAAUACCGCAUACGUCCUGAGGGAGCAAGUGGGGGAUCUUCGGACCUCACGCUAUCAGAUGAGCCUAGGUCGGAUUAGCUAGUUGGUGGGGUAAAGGCCUACCAAGGCGACGAUCCGUAACUGGUCUGAGAGGAGGAUCAGUCACACGGGAACUGAGACACGGUCCAGACUCCUACGGGAGGCAGCAGUGGGGAAUAUUGGACAAUGGGCGAAAGCCUGAUCCAGCCAGGCCGCGUGUGUGAAGAAGGUCUUCGGAUUGUAAAGCACUUUAAGUUGGGAGGAAGGGCAGUAAGUUAAUACCUUGCUGUUUUGACGUUACCAACAGAAUAAGCACCGGCUAACUUCGUG